AAACAAGCCAAAGUCCAAGACUUGCAGGUCUGGAGUCGAAGGCAGUCCACUAAGCUUAGGGAGACAUGACUUUCUAUUUGUCUGUUGGUAUGUGAGAGGACAUAGGGUAACCCUAAAGAGAACACAGGAAAUGUCAUUAGUUAUUUACGGAAAGCAAAUUACUUGUAAUGCUGUGCUAAGAAGAGGGGCAACAUUGUCAGGUGAGGACUAGAAUUUCGGAACAAAAAUAAAUAAUGGGGUGAGAGAGGCUCGAACUCUCGACCUCAGGAUCGCUCUUUAGCUAUGAGACCUACGCGCUAGCCAACUGCGCCACCACCCCAUGUUGUUCCCUUUGCAGAAAACAAAUUCCAGAUACUGAAACAUACUAAUGAAAGACUAAUGAUCUACAAAGUUUGUCAUUUUCAAUCUUCUUAGUCAUUUGCCGACAACUCCCUCACUUGAAUCUUCUUGUUGUAGUUCAUUAAUCCUGUACGUUGCGAAACUUGUUUUUAUCACUUUGAGAAUUGAAUUACAGUAGAACUAGCAAUAAAGAUGGGAACUUUUUUGUAUUUGAUACUAUUCCAAGUCCUUCUUUCAGUACUUGUAUGUUUUGAUUCGUCUCAGUCCACUUUCGAUCGGCAAACCUAUAGAGAACAUCUUCUAAGCUCAUCCCAACGAGACAAGGACUGGUUAAUAACCAUUAGAAGACAAAUUCAUGAGAAUCCAGAACUCAGAUUUGAGGAACACAAUACCAGUGCUCUUAUUAGAAGUGAACUUGAUAAACUUGCUAUUUCUUACACAUACCCACUUGCCAAAACUGGGAUUGUUGCUCAAAUUGGCUCUGGUUCACCUCCUGUUGUUGCUCUUCGUGCUGACAUGGAUGCACUUCCCCUGCAAGAGCUUGUGGAGUGGGAGCAUAAGAGUAAAGUUGAUGGAAAAAUGCAUGGAUGUGGUCAUGAUGCUCAUACCACUAUGCUCCUUGGUGCUGCUAAGUUGCUUAAUGAAAGGAAACAUCUGCUUAAGGGAACGGUGAGACUUCUUUUCCAACCUGCUGAGGAGGGAGGUGCUGGUGCAUCACAUAUGAUAAAAGAUGGUGCCCUUGGUGAUGCUGAAGCCAUAUUCGGGAUGCACGUUAAUUACAAGAUACCCACUGGAACCAUAGCAUCCUUGUCAGGGCCAGUCUUUGCUGCAGCAUCCCGCUUUCAAGUAAAAAUAGAAGGCAGAGGUGGGCAUGCUGCAGUACCCCAUAAUACUGUGGAUCCACUACUUGCUGCAUCAUUUGCAAUUUUGGCAUUGCAACAGCUCAUCUCUAGAGAACUGGAUCCCCUCCAGAGUCAGGUUCUAUCUAUUACGUAUGUCAGAGGAGGGACUACCUUGAAUGUAAUUCCACCAUAUUUUGAAUUUGGGGGCACCCUGAGGAGUCUUACGACUGAGAGCUUACAUCAACUCCAGCGGAGGUUGAAAGAGGUUGUUGAAGGCCAGGCAGCUGUCCACAGAUGUCAUGCGCACGUAGACAUGUAUGAAAAGGAAGAUGUUCCCCUAUAUCCUGCUACCGUGAAUGAUGAAAAAUUGAAUUUGCAUGUUGAGACGGUUAGUAGACUUCUUUUUAAUCCAGAGAAUUUCAAGAUGGGUCAGAAGGUGAUGGCAGCUGAGGACUUUUCCUUCUAUCAAGAAGUGAUUCCUGGAGUCAUGCUCGAUAUUGGAAUUAGAAAUGAAAACGUGGGUGCAAUUCACUCCCUACACUCACCUUACUUCUUUCUUGAUGAGGACGUUCUUUCAAUUGGGACAGCAUUGCACACUGCCCUGGCAGAGAUUUAUCUGAAUGAGCAUCAACAAUUUGCAGCACAGUAGAGAAUAAGACAUCAUAAGAGCAUGGAAGAUCAUGAAUAAGUUAAUAGUGGUCCAUGCUAUAAAGUCUCUAUAUGUAGUGGCAGGAUAUGUAAAAAUCAGGGGAAAAAAAGAAGAAGUAAUGAAACUCUUGAUUCUAGAUCACCAUCCAGUUCUGGUUAAUGCAAUCACCUCUUUCUGAAGAAGAUUCUGGUGAGCAACCUGGAUACGGGUGCAGCUAUUUUGUUCUGCAGAAGUGCCAAAAGCUGCUUCAAGCUCCCUGUCCAGAUCCAAAUCAACUUCACAAACGUGCCUUGUAUUUUGUUUGCAUUCUUUGCAUCCGGACAGGUAUUAUUUAUGAUCAUACAUGCAUUUGAUGAGGUCAUUGUGAAUGGUAUUCCAUGGCUGUAGAGGGCUGAAAAGAUGAUAGAAGCAGAGUUUGGGCAGCUACAAGACUUGCAAAACAAGUUUCUUUAUGGGUUCAGGACUCUUUGGACUAUUUGGAGAUAAAAAGAGUAGAAGUGGCAAUGGACUGCUGUAAAAGCUACUCCAUUUUAGGUUGGAUGGGAUGCCUAUUUUUAAUAACUAGCAUUGGACAAAUUCUUGAAGUGACACGUGCUUGGGACUCUAUGGUAUCAAUGAAGAUUCACAUCCAGAAUAGAAGGCUCCGACGGUGGGCAGGGUAUUCAAUGAAUGUUAUGCUGGCGAGAGGGCUGGGAAUAUGGCACAGGGUUUAUCUAGUAUGAUCUGCUAUAACCUUGUCACGGAAGAGGCCAUGUUUGCUGCACAAUUUGAGUUCAGGAUGCCUUUCUGCAAAAUGAAAUGUAUCUUUAAAGUGAGAGGCUUGUGAAGACAUCCCAAUGGAGCAUAGAGGAAAGCAGGCAAGGUCAAUACACCUAAUUUAGAAGUUAGCACUAAUAAAUGAACAUCAACAUGAAGGUUAGAUGUAGUUCAGGUUCCUUGAGGGUCCUAAUGAAUGAACAUCAACAUGAAAAAAAAAUUCAUGAAGGUUACAAUUGCUACAA